GCAGUAUUGGCUGAAUGGAAAGAGCACAGGACUGGAAAUCGGGAGACCUGGGUUCUAAUCCCAGCUCUGCC
rnacentral:tRNA from 1 species